rnacentral:rRNA from 1 species
CGUGUAGGCGGCUAUUCAAGUCAGGGGUGAAAGCUCCAGGCUCAACCUGGAGAGGUCAUUCAAAACUGCCAGACUAGAGGACGGUAGGGGGAGGUGGAAUUCCGGGUGUAGCGGUGAAAUGCGUAGAUACCCGGAGGAACACCAGUGGCGAAGGCGGCCUCCUGGGCCGUUCCUGACGCUCAGACGCGAAAGCUAGGGGAGCGAACG